UGGUAUAUCAGUAUCAAAUAUUUAAGCAAAAACAAUAUUCUGUUUUCGGCCAUACGGGAACCAAUCGUGCAGAGCUAACUAAUUUGUUGUAUUUCCCUUUGACCAAUCGAAGUACAAAGUUGGCUUAAGUCGAACUGGAAACAAGUUCUCAAGUUACUUCAUGUUACUAACAUUUCGCACUGCGAAUGAACACCCCGAGAAGUAUGCAACAACUGAGCGACAGAUCAAAGCGGCAAAGGACUUUAUAAAUGCUCAACGCUGGCCGCCAGCGAAGAAUACAACUACAUACACACACAGAGCUGAAUGCGCUUCGUUGGAUACACGCACACAACGAACAGGAAACGACAAGCUCGAAGCACGAAGCACGAUGCUGCUCGUGUGUCGUUCGGCUCAUGCCUUUUGCGUUUAUUUGUUCGUGCAUAUCAACAAUUGGUCGAAUAGAAAUUCAACUGUGUCUGUGUUGUUCACUGUGUGAGUUGGCGGUGGGACUUGGGCCUCACGCAAGUGAGUGUGGGUGCAUGGGUCGCGGCGCGCAAUUGAAUUGAACGGAAAUAUUGUUUGCAUAUGUGAAUAAAACAUUAAACAAGAAAAAUUUUG